rnacentral:lncRNA from 1 species
UUUUUUUUCCUGGCUUCUUAAAAAAAAAAAUCAGGGCUUUCUAUGCAGGCAGAAAUAAAAUAAGUCUGUUUCCAAUCAGCUACCAAAUGCACAUCCCUAGAGAUGCUCAGGGCCACAUGUGCCUUGGAAGAAAAUAUUGUUAUUCUCCUUCUGUCUGUCAUUGAGACAUUCUGUGCCUCGGCAGGACAUGACUUCUGUAUAUCCCUGCACUCUGCAAACCCUGUGAAUAAUAGAUGUGCUCUGAGGCAGAACUUCUGCCAAGGCUGCUCCUGACAUUGUUAACUUGUCUGGCAAGCUGAAUUUUUGGUGCAGAAGAGCUCUUUCUGAGAGAUGAACAGAAAAAACAAGCCCAUACAAAGCACUGAACCUAAGACAACCUGUUUCCGUUGAAUUCAUAUCUUGUGGCUGAGUGGGUUUUGUAUGACUGAAGAGUGAGUGCUUCAUUGGAAAUCAGAUUCUGAUGGAUUGUCUGUCUCUUUACUUCUGACAAACAAAGUCCUAUUGGAAGUUUUUAUGUAGCUGGGCCCCUCUUUCUCUCCUGGGCAAUGUCUUUGCUGUCUAAGAGCAGCUUACUCAAACUGCUGCCUCUCCCUGCUUGAGACUUAUUUUUUCCCUAGUUGCACCCUUCCUAGAAUUCACAGGAACACAACAACUCAGAGAUUAGUACCUGUCUGCAGGCUUGGUAGGAGUUGCCCAAUGUGUUCAGCAGUCACCAGGGGAUGAAGUGAAGGAUGCACACACUGGUGUGGGCGCACAGUGAGACAGCAGGAGCUUCACUUCCUUAGGAAAACAGACUACAAGGCCCGGGACUGCAUGAAACAAAAUCCAUCUCUCUGUAGCUGUUGUUCUGCAAAGAAAUUAUAAUAGCAAAGAUGAGGCAAUAAUACAACAACUGCCACAGCACAGAAGCUGCCAGGGCUGGCUUUCUUUUGUGCCAGGGUCACCUUCCCAAGCACCGUAACUGCACUCAGAGAGGGAUAUCCACCUGUCUGGCACUGCUCCAGCACAGGUAGCAACCAGAGAAAAGGCGACUUUAUGUGAACACUGUUAUCAUUUUAAUGAAACCUGGGAGCUGCAGGUUCAGCCUGAGGACAGCUUUUUUAACAUGAAAGACACUCAAGAUAACAGAAAUGGCACAUGAUAUUAUCUUGGAUGUAUCCCAGAAGGUUUUUCUGGGAAGAAAACAACAAAGUGCCAGCACCCUUCCCACCAGCAAGAUUUUUCUCCUGUUCUACUUCAGGGGUUGCAUCCCUGAUGCAAAGGCAGAGGUUGUGGAAGAAAGAGCAAAAUUAGGGGAGAGAGGUGGUAGGCAGAGUGCUCCAUCACUGGGAACAAGUGCUAAGAAUACAGUCAACGAUGUAGAAGUGCAGGAUGAAAAGAAAAAUAGCUUUGAGAGACAGAGGAUUUAUUGUUUCUUGUUUCUCCUUGAGAUGUGCCCAUAUAUGGCAGAGGAGCAUUGAUAUUCUUGCCCCAACAUCUCCAGAGAUACAGAGCUUGCUGCUUUCUUUUCCUCUUGGUUUUGCUUUGUAUCAUUGUCAUCAUCAAAUCAUAGAAUGGUUUGGGUUGGACAAGACCUAAAAGAUCCUCUACUUCCAAUCCCCUGUCAUAAGCAGGGACACCUUCCUCUACACCAGGUUGCUCCAAGCCCCAUCCAACCUGGCGUUGAACAAAGUCAGUGAUGGGGCAUCCACAACUUCUCUAAGCAACCUGUUCUAGUGCCUCACCACCCUGGCGGUAAAGAAUUUCCUACUAAUUUCUCAUCCAAACCUAACUCUAACCUAAAUCCCCUUUGUUCUGUCACUAUGUGCCCUUGGUAUAAAAUUUCUCUCCAUCGUUCUUUUCAACUUUCUCCAGGUACUUGAAGACCACAAUAAGGUCACCACAGGCUAUUCUCAUCUCUUGGCUGAACAAUCCCAAUUCUCUUAGCAUUUUCUCAUACACGGAGGUGCUCCGCUCCUCUAAUCAUCGUAGUGGUCCUUCUCUGAUCUUUCUCCAACAAGUGAGGAAGGGAGGAAAAUACUGCCAACCCCAUAACCCCAGACAAGCAGCUAAGCUGGACUAGGUCUUGUCACCAGUUCAAAGACCAGCUUACACAGAGGAGCAGAGCAAUGGCAAGCCACAGCGUGAGCUCAAACUGCUGUUGUCCCACUAAUGCAAUGCUCAGGGUCAACCUAUUUUUCUGACACACAGGGAUUUUUCUGGUUUAGCUUAUGCCAUGCUAAAAUGAGUUUAAAACAAAUGAAAAAACAGUGAUGCCUUUAUUCCACAACAAAAGCAUCCACACAGGCCACCAGCCCAGCAGAAGGACUGAAUUGGAUUUACCAGUAAUUGUUACAUUUCUGCCCAGAAUCACUCAGUGGGGAUCUGUACUGUGUUUUGUGAGGUCUGUGUAGAACUAUGAGGAACAGUACAACCAGGGACUGUUUUGACAUCCAUGUCACAUGCUCCUGAAACUGUUCUAGCACUGCUCAUACAGAGAAAUACUACUGCCUUUCUCCAUCCCAACAUCUCAUAGUUGCCCUCAGAGUUCAAGAAGUCCAGUGAUUGUUGUUUCUGGGAAAGGAUGUGGCUAUGAGACACAUUCCUGCAUCAUGGCUGGAGCCAUGUGAGUCAUCUGCAGGCUGAAGGUUUGCAGCACAGAAAUGGUUACAGACAUGGCAGUACAAAAGGAGAAGUAUCAACUUUGUGUGAAAUUCACUGCAGGGUUCAACUGUAAAGCCAUAGGGUUAAUGCAGGACUGGAAAAUACCAUCUGGAACUGGCUUUAUUUGAUAUCUUUUCUGUGCUGGAAGAGAAUAAAAGGAGAAAUAAACAAAAGUGGCCUCAACCUACAGAAGGUAAAAGGAUUGGAAUAAAGCAAAUGAACAUUAACCUGUAAAUAAUACUAAGUAUUAAAGACAAUUAAAAAAAAAAAAAACUAAACCAGAAGCACAUUGUAAAAAUAAACAUUAAAUAGCAAAGUUCCCAAAAGAUAGCAGGAUACAGCCUUUUCAUCAACUGGUCUGAUUUUGAUAGUUAUAACUUUCAUGGGAAAAAAAGGCUCAAGUACUUGACAGACUUGAGAGAAAUCCUGUUUGGUAUUUGGGGAGAAACAAGUCCCUGCCAGAAGCAGAUGGCAAUGUGAACUUACCCUCUGGAAGAAGCAAUCACUUCUGCAGUGGGAGAAGAUAAUGCAUCCUUAGACAACAGGACACAGAAACAUCACACUGACAAAUCCUCUUGACACAGCAAACUAAGAGAUUUCAUUAUCAAGAGGUUGUGAAAAUCUCCUGUAACCAUUUGUGUCGUAUCAAUAGAGAAUUGCGAUCAUUCAGAAGAGCUUUACAAUGAGGGAAGUUAAACACUAGGUCCUAGGAAAAAAAGACAGAUUUGGAAUGUAUGUCCACAAAGAUGAUCAGGGUCAGCCUCUUUUCUGACACACAGGAAUUUCUCUUGUUGUUCCCACUAUUAAGUUGUUCCCACUGUACAUUCAUGCACAAGAUAAAAACACUAACACUGUGUGCCAGGUACAGUCUCUGCAGUACAACACAGCAUUUUUCUUUUGAUACAAGAUGUAUUUGGGAAGAUUUAUGAACCAGUUGCUGAAGUCACACAUGCAAGUACCUGUAGACCCCAGAUGGCACUGACCACAUGGUGACAUCCCAGAACCACACCGAGUGUGCAGCAGCCAGGGAGAGCUAAGGGCUGCCCCAGGAUGGGCCCAAAACUCACAUUGGGCAGAACAACAAAAACAAAAACAAACAAACAGAAAAAAAAAAAAAAAAAAAAAAAGCAGGCAGAUACAUGCACAGACCCAGGUGUUUUAAUAGUUCCUCUCCUAAAUGACUGCACCAUUUGUGGGAACAUGUGAAAACAGAAUUGCAAAAUGAAUGAUGGCCAUUCCUCCUGGUUGUCAGUGGGGCCAAGCCAGAAUACACAUGGGUUAGUGGCUAUUCUGUCAAGCAGGGAAGGGAAAGAGGCUGCUGAGUUUCUGCAGGACAGCAUGGUCCCCAUAUUGUAGGGAAGGAACAAGCAUAGCAACAUCAUGACACCUUGUAAAAUCAUUUGCAUUCAUUUGCAUGUACAUGAAAUCUCUGCAGACCCCCAGACCUUGCACACUGUAUUAAGAAGAUACCACCAGCUGUAACCAUCUCACAGCUAAAAGCUAUCAUUUUGAUGAAAUACUAAUUGCAGAGCACAUCCUACUAGGGCUCCUCAGAGAGGAGUGAAAAGCUGUGGGGAGGACUGCACACGCAGUUCAUUUGCAUCAGUUGUCCUUAUUAUUCCUCCAGGUUCUCUUUUCUUUCUUCAAUAUCAAUUAUAGCUCAUGCUGUGACAACCAUGGGGUGUAAAGGGAGUGAUGGGGAGGCAUGUUGAGUGACUGGCAGACAUUUCAGGAGGCUUAACUUACCCCACUGCAUCUCAUUUUUCCCCCUAAUUCCUUAUUUUUUCCUAAUUUUCUUUUUCUCCCCCUCCAAAACCUCCAUAGGAUAUAUAUGCUCAGAAAUAUAUUGCAUCUAGGCAAAAAAACCUGAUGGAAACAAAUUAAUGCUUUCUUUGCAUAAAUAACCCUGUUGAUCUCCUCCACAGACAAUGCACAAACAGCUGUGGAUAUCCAGAGCUUUCGCCCAUGUUUGGGAAGGUCCCAAACGGGAGGCGUACUCCUGACUGCUUACUCUGUGCAGGUUUUGUAGCGACAUGCAAGGGGAAACAAUGCUCCCAAAUUGUUUGGGGCUUCAAACAGGUUAACACAGGUCUCAUGCCAGCUGCUCUGGAGAGCACCUAGGACUGACUUAAGUCAAACCCCACUCCCCCAGGAUUUAAUUUAACACACUCCUCUCUCGGAGGGUUAAUUUUCACCUGAAAAGGUCACGAAGCAGCAGACGUGUGAAAUCUGGUAGCACCACCAAAGCCUGUCAGGUUUCUACUCAAAUUCCUACAGGAAAGGUUCUCCUCCCUGUUUUUUGGUUUCCAAGCAAAGUCUGCACAUAGUGCCCAAGUAUUUCCCUAUGCACAUACAGCCACUUGGUCACGAUUUGGACAUACAUCAGCAGAAAGACUUGCAGAGCUUUCACUCCAGAGCAAAUUCAUUUUCCUCCCAUGCUGCCUUGCCAUCAGACUGACCAGCUGGGAAGAAAUGGAUUUCAGAAGUGCAAAUGAAUUGAAUCGGUUUCAGAAAAAUACUCACCAUAGAUCUAAGGUUUACCUAGGUAGUUCAAAUAGCACCUGAGUUAGCAUCAUGUUAUGUCUAGACACCAUGCAUACCAAAACCAUGCUCCUGGAAGCAUUGGCUCAGUUUCUUGGUAAGAGAAUAGGCUUGGUAUUCAGUACAAACUGCAGAAAAUGGAAACCUUGAAAUAUUUUAAUUUAAAAAGGCCUUUUUUAACGAUGGAAUAUUUGGAAUUGCAAGUAGCAGUGUUUUACACUGAUUAUCUUUCCAUAAAUUUGAGGGUAAUUUUUCUAGCUGCCUUUGCUAAGAGAGCACACUCUCAUUGGCAAGCAAACAUUGUUUGUCUUUGUCUUAAGGUGGUUAAAGUUUCACACUGCAGACCUAUACUAACUCACACCCAGAAAGCCCAUUACACUGUGCUUACACCUUUCUAACAUAAUUUCUAACUGCACCACAGACUCAUUUCUAGCUGAAUAUCUGAGGCCUAGGCCAGGGUAGCUCAACCUUCACUCUAAGAAUAAAUCGUGUCCUCUGUCUCUCAGAAAUUCUGCUACAAGUUUCAAUAACUUAAAAAGUGUUACAAAAGGCUGGUUGGGAUAAUUUUUAGAAAGUAAUUUUGAGAUUUAAGAGUAACAAUUGUUACAUGCUUCACUGAAACCUCUAUAAAAUUUUUUUCUGUUUAGAAAGAAAUGUCCACCUCAGCUCACAAGGGACAGCUCAUAUAAAGCCCAAACGUGUAGUGCAGCAAGCAUGUAGGCUGGAAAACCUGCUCACCAGCAGGAUUAGUCCCUUGAGCUUUACAGAACCCUCUGAAAGCUUCCCUCAUGGGAUCCCUGCUGUCUCACAGCCAUCCUCUUGACUCUCCUUGAGAUCAGCAGAAAUGUAGAUAUCUUUGAAACCCCUUGCUUUCUGGUUGAAAUUAGGCAACAGUCCAGAAGCUGAUGGAAGAUGAGAGAGAGACACUUCUCAUGGUUUGCAUGUCCUUAGGGAAAAGGGACUAAAAGCAUAUACCAGAAGCAGGUUUUCAAAAGACAGGCUUGGCUACCGGUUGUUGUAAGGAGUGAGGGAGUUUUGCUAUAUAUUCCUAUGACCCGUGUAAUCCCUCGCACUUUACAAUACUUGGUUCUUACAUGCGAAAAAUAAUUCCUAAAAAUAGAAAGGUACUAGUCAGGAAGGAUCAGAAUCAUUUAUAUCUCCUUAUGUGCUUCAUGAUGAAUCUGUCUUCCCAAUGCCCAUGCUGGGAAAACUAAAGCAGGGACUCAAAUGGAGUACUGAACACAUCAUUGAAGGAAGGAGCUACUUUCCUUCUAUAUUGCAGGAUGGGGAUGUGCCCAGAGAGGCCAGGCACUGUGCUACCAGGGAUGUUGUGCUAAAUCCUGCGGCAGCUGUCUCUGCUCAGGAAACCAGCUUUCACUGAGGGCUACUUUACCUGCACUAAUGAGUGGUAUCUCACCAUUAAUGCUUACACUACUGCUAAUUGCAGCCUUCCUUGGCUGUGUUAUACAUAUGUAUGUAUUGCUUCUGCAGCCAGCAGUAAGGGCUCCUCCUGUCCCAUUCCAGCAUUGCUUUUGUCAGGGAGGGAGAAGUGCCUCCGUGCAUGAUUGUGCAGCUCUGCCUGCCCAUAGACCAGCAUCUUUUCACUUUUUACCUUUGCACAUUCCAAUCUUACUCUGCUCUGAGCAUUCCCAGCUGGGAAAAGCUGCUCUACUUUGCUUCUCAUGUAAUGUCUUUACAAAUCGUCAUUGUUUAUCUCAGAGGUGGCCAGGAUGCUCUUUUCAGUUCCAGGGGCUGCAGGCCCUGCUCACUCACAGCCUAUUCCUCCCCAGAGAGGAUGCUGCUCAGGAAGCAGCUGAAAUGCUGGAACAGGCAGCUUUUCCAGGUGUUAGUGCGUGCUGUGCUACUGAUCGGGCUUUCUCUGAGCUGUUCCUUGUGAGCUGAGGUGAACGUUUCCUUCUAAACAGAAAAAUCCUUCAUAGGGAUUAUAAUGAAGCACGUGGCAAUGUAGCAAUACUCUUUCUUAUCAAAAUUACAUUCUUCUAAAAGAGAGCCAACCAGCUUUUCAUAACACUUUUUAAAUUAUUGGAACCGUCGAUAUUCUAAAAAAAAAAAAAA